rnacentral:rRNA from 1 species
UACGGGGGGGCAAGCGUUGUUCGGAAUUACUGGGCGUAAAGGGCUCGUAGGCGGCCAACUAAGUCCGACGUGAAAUCCCCAGGCUUAACCUGGGAACUGCGUCGGAUACUGGAUGGCUUGAAUCCGGGAGAGGGAUGCGGAAUUCCAGGUGUAGCGGUGAAAUGCGUAGAUAUCUGGAGGAACACCGGUGGCGAAGGCGGCAUCCUGGACCGGCAUUGACGCUGAUGAGCGAAAGCCAGGGGAGCAAACGGG